AUUGAACGCUGGCGGCAGGCCUAACACAUGCAAGUAGAGCGGAGCGGCGGACGGGUGAGUAAUGCCUAGGAAUCUGCCUGGCAGUGGGGGAUAACGUCCGGAAACGGGAGCUAAUACCGCACACUAUCAGAUGAGCCUAGGUCGGAUUAGCUAGUUGGUGGGGUAAAGGCCUACCAAGGCGACGAUCCGUAACUGGUCUGAGAGGAUGAUCAGUCACCCUGGAACUGAGACACGGUCCAGACUCCUCCGGUGGGCAGCAGUGGGGAAUAUUGGCCAUUGUGCGAAGGCCUGAUCCAGCCAUGCGGCGUGUGUGAAGAAGUUCUUGGGAUUGUAAAGCACUUUAAGUUAGGAGGCGUUACCAACAGAAUAAGCACCGGCUAACUUCGUGCCAGCAGCCGCGGUAAUAC
rnacentral:rRNA from 1 species